rnacentral:rRNA from 1 species
GCUAACUGAAUCAUUAUGAGUCAUUAAUUUGGUGAUUAUGAUAACAUAAGGGAAAAAAAAUGAUAUUACCUUAUUAUUAGUGUUGUCCAAAACUGGUGCCAGAAGACUCGGUAAGACCAGAGACGCAAACGUUAGUCAUUUUAAUCAGGCGUAAAGGGUGUGUAGGCUGCUUUAAAAGUUUAAAUCUUUUUAAUAGCUCUUUUGCCGUUGUCAUACCAUUAUUUUUUUGUUUUUGUUUUUUGUUUUAUAAAUAAUAAACAAAAAUGAAUAUAAAGGUAGUACAUUUUAUAAAUUUAAUUAAUUUAAUUAAUUUAAUUAAUUUAAUUUUAUAAUUAUAAAGGGGACAAAAAAGAUAUCCCGGUUUAAGUAAAAAGAAUAAAAUGAAUUAAAGCUAGGAUCAAAUUGAGGAUAAACCAAAUAAUACUUAGAGUAGGGCCGAUAUCCGCAGAUACUAAGGGGAAUACUAAAGGUGAAAGCUUUUUAUCUACUAUUGAUUGACGCUGAGAAACGAAGGUGAGAACAGGAAAUAGGAUUUGAUACCCAGAUACCUCUCACUGUCAACGAUGAAUGGUGGUUGUUAGUUUUAAUAAAAACUGGUAACGAUGUUAACACGAUAACCAUUCCGCCUUGCGAGUACGGUUGCAAAACUGAAACCAAAAAAAUUAGUCGGUU